rnacentral:miRNA from 1 species
AUACAUUAUAUAUAUAUAUAUAUAUAUAUAUAUAUACACACACACAUAUAUAUAUAAUGUAUAUAUAUAUACACACACACACACAUAUAUAUAAUGUGUAUAUAUAUA